rnacentral:sRNA from 1 species
GCCGGGUGUGGUGGCACAUGCCUGUAAUCCUAGGAGCUUGGGAGGCUGAGGCAGGAGGAUUGCAAGUUCAAAGCCAGCUUCAGCAACUUAGUGAGGCGCUAAGCAACUUAACAAGACCCUGUCUCUA